UCUGACUUUCCUCAAAAUCUCUCCUUUUUUACAGAAGCAAGAAAGGGUUUCCAGAAAGGUGUUGACUUUGACUAUUUCUUCCGGGAUUGUAGGGGACUCUGUUUCUUUAGUGAGAGGGGGAUAGAAUGGUCUUGUGAGGAGGUUUGGUAAAAAGAUGUUGGAUUUGAAGAGGGCUUCAGUGAUCUAUUACCAUAAGUAUGUCAAGAGGGUUAUUAAGCUUGUCUAGUUUAUGGUUGUUACCAUGUUCAUGUGGGGAUUCCUCUUCCUCUCUGUCUACUUCAUUCCGGGUUCCCAGGUUUAAACUUACCUAGUGAUUACACAACAACAACACCCUUUUUAGUUUAUUAGAAAAGCUUCUCCUGUUCUAGCAUCUUUAAGGAUUUUGAUUUAAACAGUUUCUAUUAGUCUACCUUAGUCUUAUUCUGCUUCCUUCCCGUUUGUCGUUUCACCUGGAAACAACUUUUGAGUUUCCCUGUCUUCUUCUCUGUCUAUUUGGAGUUUGGUUUUAGG
rnacentral:lncRNA from 1 species